CUCCACUAUGCGCGAAAGGUGGCAGUCCUCAGUAAAGUUGCUAGCGUUGUAGCGGGCGCUUAUAGGGUGUCUAACUCCGGCAGGCUUCGCAGCGCAGGGAGCUGGAGAUACACCGGGAACAGCAGGCAGGUGACGUGGCGCGGCCCUUGGCGUACAGCCGGGCCGCAGUCCAGGUGCAGCCAGCCCGCAAGCGCAAGAGUGUGGAACGGUCUCUUCUGGUGAGGCCGUUCUCUGGAAGCGGCUUGGGGGCCCUGCCACUAGCCACUCGGGUGUCCGGGUGAAUGGAGAAAAUAUAAGCGACCAUCACAGCAGAUCGGGUGGCGCGACUGGAGAGUGCUGAAGCUGACGAAGGCCGAACCCGCACUUCACUUCCCGCACCGCCCCUGUCACGACAGCUGCGACGGACGAGUUGUUGGCCAUUCGCGAUGAGAUUGUAGAGGCGCAUGGCCACGCUCGCUAUGCUAUAUAUGGCAUCGACUCUGCACGCCUCGGUCGUGUCGUAAGCACCCUGAACACAUUAAGCAACGUGUUUCUCCGGGGCGUGCAUACUCUAUUUCCCGCGCUGUUUUCCUCAGUUCGUCUCGCGUGUGUGGCCCCAUCUUUCUCGAGAUAUUAAAACGUUCGACAGUAGAGCAGCAGCCUGCAGCCGCGUCCGCAUAGUUCCGGCCAAGCUGCGCAAGGCUCUGAAUGGACGCCUCGAGUUGCUCUUCGGCGCAAGACGAGAACGAGCGAUGCCCGCCUUCGCGCAGGCGUCGCCCUUAGUGCGUCCUGCACGCGCUGCUGGAGCCGUUGGACUCGUCAACAGUUCGUACGAGAAGCUCAAGCG